rnacentral:lncRNA from 1 species
GUAUCACGAUUAAAAUACGUCUCUCCCAUUCAAACUCCAAAAUUAGUUCAAGGAUAUCUGAUUUCUAUACCUUUGUCCUUGGUCAAUCUCCAAGUCCAAUAGAAGCAUAUUUCUAGUGUCUUUUUGAUUUCUGCACUUGUUAAUAAUUUGGUAAUACUGCAUGUCACACACCAUGAAGUUUGCUGUAACCUUUGAAGUUUGAACCAACAACAUUUGCAUGAACUUGAAAGACAAAAGUGUAGUUUUGCAAGGAAAUGGAUACGAGAAUUGGAUUUGGACAUGUAUCCAAGUGUCUGACUUAAUAAGAGAGAAAAAGAUAGAUACAAGGAUAUGUGAGAUGUUUAACUAAAUUGUAUAUCUAUACCUUUAAAUACUAUCUGUUUAAACUUUAAAUUUAAAGGUUGCAAAGCUUUUGUUUGUUAAGAUUUUUCAAUAUACAUUUUCUAUUCAAACCUCCCAAUUAAAUUAAGGAUAUUAGUUUAAUAAUAGUUUGCAAAGUUACUUCAACACCUGCAUUUUUAACAAAUCUCGAAAAAGAACACCUACUCACUCCUAAUAUCGAACUAGAGAAUCAAACUUAUUAUUGGAAGAGUUCAACUCUUUUCCAAUUUUCAAGUGGUUAUCAAAGAAUUUCAAAAGUAUGC